rnacentral:lncRNA from 1 species
GGGCCGAAGGAUCCUAAAGAAAACCCAAUGAUGACCAUAAGAAACAUGAACUCCGAGGAACCGACUGAGAUGAUCAUGACAUUCCAAUAGAAGAUGUUAAAAAUGCAGCAACGGUACGAAGAAGAGUUAGCAACCUUGCGUGCCAAGAAUGCGGCCAACGUCGAGAAUGCCGCUGGGGCUGAAAACGCAACCGUCCGGUUGGAAUAGACCGC